rnacentral:tRNA from 1 species
GUGGCUCAGUGGUAGGGCAUUUGCCUGGCAUGCAGAAGUUCAUAGGUUCCAUCCCUGGCACCU